rnacentral:rRNA from 1 species
UACGUAGGGGGCAAGCGUUGCCCGGAUUUAUUGGGCGUAAAGCGCGUGUAGGCGGCCAGGUAGGUCCGCUGUGAAAACCCGAGGCUCAACCUCGGGACGUCGGCGGAAACCAUCUGGCUAGAGUCCGGAAGAGGAGAGUGGAAUUCCCGGUGUAGCGGUGAAAUGCGCAGAUAUCGGGAAGAACACCCGUGGCGAAGGCGGCUCUCUGGGACGGUACUGACGCUGAGACGCGAAAGCGUGGGGAGCGAACAGG